UAAUGUUCAACCAUAAAUCCGAAAAAAUUGGACUGAUACUGGGACGAUUAGCAUGACCCUUGUACACGGAUGAUACACACAAAUACUUAAAUGAACAAGUGUAA